rnacentral:ncRNA from 1 species
CUGUGUGUGUGUGUGUGUUGUGCGAAACUCCAUUUGCUCUCGAGAAUUCGAGGGUAUUAUUGGAGUGGAGCAGAACAACAUCGAGUGAGCGCGCGCGAUCGGCUGCUGAACGAUAAUGAGAGAAAGAAGGAAAGCACACGCGCAUUGUGUUGUGUAUUGUGCNAGUACGAGAGGAACCGCAGGUUCGGACAUUUGGUUCACGCACUCGGUCGAGCGGCCGGUGGUGCGAAGCUACCAUCCGUGGGAUUAUGCCUGAACGCCUCUAAGGCCGUAUCCUUUCUAGUCAAAGGAGGCAACGAUAUCUCUAGGAGUCUCGUGAGUCGAAAGGCUCAAAACAAUGUGACACUACUAGGUGGCCGAUCCACGGGUCGGCCAUCGCACGGGCCCUAAUUGCCGUACGGAGUCGCGGAUCCUGCUUCGGGAUCUUACCGAGAGCAGGCCUGGCUUCUAGCGGUCGAUCAUGGGUAUACCAAGUUCGAUGUCGAGACUCGGAAUCGUCUGUAGACGACUUAGGUACCUGGCGGGGUGUUGUACUCGGUAGAGCAGUUACCACGCUGCGAUCUGUUGAGACUCAGCCCUUGGCUUGGGGAUUCGU